AGUCACUGACAUUAGAUACCCCCGUAGUCCAGGGUGUAAACGCUGCAGACUUGGUGUUGGAAGCCCUUUGGGGGCAUUCAGUGCCGGAGAGAAGUUGUUAAGUCUGCUACUUGGGGAGUACGUCCGCAAGGAUGAAACUUAAAGGAAUUGGCGGGGGAGCACCGCAACGGGAGGAGCGUGCGGUUUAAUUGGAUUCAACACCGUAAACUCACCAGGGAAGACUGUUACAUGAAGGCCGAGAUGAAGACUCUGCUAGAUUUUCAG
rnacentral:rRNA from 1 species